AGGAGCUGUGGAGACAUGGUUGGACUUCAUUACAUGUUGCUGCCACAAUCAAGAGAUGGAAGAGUCCAGAUGGCGGCAGUUUUGAUGCUUACUUGUGAAAAUGGUGUGAUAUGUUUGAUGAUAAUACUUUCUAGUAUGUGUUUUCUUGACCUGUCAGUCUUCUGAUGCGUAGACACAGAGCAGAACUUCUAUGGCACGGAAUGCAAGAGAAGAACAGACUUGUUGUGGAUGCUAAAUUCUGUGCUUGUUUGUUUUGCUGUCCGUCUCAUUCUGUCAUUCGCCUUAAAACUUUUGCCCAUAAGCACUCUGGGCGGUUGGCCUUUUAGAAAUUUUAUUAUAUAAUUGGGGCCAUCCGAUCUCUCUUUCCCCUAUCAACCGUGCGAGAAUCGCUGGCCGCUGCCUCGGUAGACUUACGCCUUCCACGCCAGCGACGUUGACGUACGGACUCGAGGAGAAGCACAACGGCCACCCUUCCCGGCCAUGUUCGUCGUGAUCGCUGAUGGCCGCUGUCUGACAUGCAAACAACGUUGCACAUCUCUGAGUCUGGCUGCUGCCACUUCGAACAUCCACAGCUGGAUCUCUCAAACCAUCUUUCAUAUGCUUGCGGACGCGCCCCGAUCAGUGGCCGGAUAGGAGAGAAGGAAAAAAAUGACCCAACUAGACCCCCCAUAUCUUUCAUCUUUCAUAUGCUUGCGGACGCGCCCUGAUCAAUGACCGAAUAGGAGAGAGAGGGAAAAAAGUAACCCAACUGGACCCCUCAUAUCUUUCCUAUAUGUCUGGUCUGUCCGCGAACCCGUGUAUCUAUCUCAAAUAUGGGGGGAUAUGAGGGCUCGCGGACAAGCCGGGGCGCGCCCGAUCAAUCCGUCACAUAAGACGCGGCCUCACCCUCGACCACCUUUUCUCUUCCUUUAAUCAUUCUUUUCUUUCUCCAUCUUUAUCUACCUCAAUCAUGGGCAAGUGACCGGACAGAUGAGGAAGAAAAUGAGGACUGCGCGGAUGAAUAAAUAGGGGGAGAACGUUCAUCAUCCGACUGAUCUUUCUCUCUCAUAAGCCUCCUUCUCCACGCGCCACGUACCCACGUCAGGCUGCCCACCGCUUCGCCCCAGCCUUAUCCUAUCUCUAACGAAGCUCCUCCACUCAUUUCUUCAUUUUUUUCUCCCUCUUACAACUCAUCGCCAGAGGAGAUUAGCCAUGGUGAGCACCACCACCAGCAGCUAGAAAAUCAGAAGAGUUUGACGCCGGCCGUAGGCACUAGCGUCGGAGCUCCUCCCUUGCAUUGCUGCAGGCGGCAUAGCUGCAAAGCAGCGUCCAUGGAGCGAAGCCAUGGCGAGCACCACCACAGCAGCGGGGGAACUGGGAGGUGCUGCUGGCAAUCGAAACGGCGCUCGUCGACGAACGCCGGUGCUGCUUUCAUCCAUGGCCGCCGAGAUGGGACACAGCAACUUGUCCACGGCCGUUGCGCUACGUUGCGCUAGGUUGCAAUCUUGUCUGCAUUGCGAUGCAAUCUGGUGUGCCGAUGGAGCGCUCGGCGUCGGCGGCGGAGCUGCAAUGGAGCGCUCGGAGCCGGCGGCGGAGCUGCAAUGGAAGUGCAAGUCGCCGGCGGCGGAGCUGCAAUGGAGCGCUCGGAGCCGGUGGCGGAGCUGCAAGUCGCCGGCUAUGGAGUUGCAAUGGAGCGCUCGUCGGCGGCUCCCCCGUACUGCAUCGCAGCGCUUGCCGACGGCUCAAUGUAGCAUCAUCGGUGGCUCAAUGCAGCGUCGUCCGUGGCUGAUGCAGCUUUGCCGGCAACUCUUGGGGGAGCCCGUGUCGCAAGUCGCAACUGCACGCUUGGAGUCUUCGUUGUUGCCACGACCGGCGACAGUUACGCGUUUGCAAGGCGAGGAACGGCUGGGGCAAGCUUGGUGCUGCAAGCGAGCGGCUGCGAGCUAGUUCAGGGCUGCGACCCAGUGUGUGGGGAUUUUUGGCAAGGCUGCGACACAAGGAAGACGAGGCCACGCUCGGCGUCGUAUUGCGUGAGAGCGACACGGUCAAGUACAAGUUGACUAAUCGUACGUCUGUGAGAGCUUUGAUCGGACGGCUGGGACCCGAUUGAUUUCUCAUGAAAUCAGUCGAAUGAUUUUUAGCAGCCGUCAUAAAUAGGGGUUUAAAAUAAACACGCCCGGUCACUGACCGGGCACGGCCGCAGACAUUUGAGGGAUCGAAUUAGAGGUACGUGGCUGAAGAUGCUCUUGCACCUCCAUGCAUGCAGCCCAAAAUGGUACACGGCCGCAUGAAGCACAAUUGUGCUUAAGUGUUUUUUUCUUCAAAAGUGAAAUACGGUAGUGCUUCGGUUUGGAGCGCAAUUGUGUUUUUGUGCUUUUCACAAAAGUGAAGCACAAAUGUGCUUUCGUGUGAAAGCAUAACUGCUUUUCCCGGUAAGUGAAUAACAAAUGUGCUUCCCCGUGAAACAUACUUGUGCUUUUAUGGUUAUUUUCUUUUUCUUUUUACGGUUACCGUUUUUUCAGUAUUUCGUCUUUUGUCUCUAUUUUUUGUUUGGUUUUUGGGAUUGGGCCAAAAAAAUGUUCGUCGAAACCUGUCAAAGUUCGAGGAUCUCAACGUGAGAAAUGCAACGGUAAAACGAUUCAUGAUUUGAACGGAUGGUUCAAGAGAUAAAUUAUUUUGAUGAAACAACUCUACAAAGAAAAGCACAAACAAAUCCACAUGCCUCCCGUGUAUGUGAAGAAAUCUCACCAAAAAAUUCAUAGGUUGUGACAAGAAUCGCACAUAGAUUACGCCACUUGUCACCACAAGAGAAGAUGGGACUGUCCCUUGCAAAAAGUACCCCUUAAGGUUGUAGAGCACAGGGACGAUGCCAUCAUAAGGGCAUGUAUGAUCGACCGCCUCGAGUAGUCGCGUAAUGUGAUCCCCAAGUGGCCAAGUCCAACCAUGAUCCGUUUUGGAGUAGACAUGUCUACCUGGAUAUGGAACAAGAAAACUGGGAACCUCCUAUAUGACGCAUUUUGCCUCGUAUAGGAGCUCGACGCAGACGGGCGACGCUCGACUUGGCCAGCCCACCGACACGAAAGCCACUUGUGUUUCCUAGUGCGCAACCUAAGAAAUCCUAGAAAACAAUAGAGCACGUGAGGAUUGGAUCCCACGAUCUCGCUCACACCAUACUCGCGACUGCGACCAGUUAGCCACUCCACCACACAGUCGCUGCUGAACAUGAAGCGCGAAACUCUAUAGCACACACAUCAGGGUUGAUAUAUGGAAAACAUUUUAGAAACAUUUCUUGAAAAUUGUGAACAAUUUUUAAAUGCCGCAAAUAUUUUUUGAUAUUCCAAAUUUGUUUUCUGAAAAAAUGUGAACAACUUUUGUAAUAUAGAAUUAGAAAACACGGACAUUUUUUGCACAACCCAAACAGUUUAAUGAAGUUGUGAACAAAUUUUGAAAAAAAGAACAUUUUUUGAAUUUCCUGAUUUUUUUUGAAAACACAAACAUAGAAAAAUUCGAAAAUGAGAACAUUUUUGAAAUACCUGAUUUUUUAAAUUGCGAUUUUAAUAAAAGAGAACAUUUUUUGAAACACGGACAUUUUUCGAAAUUGUGAACAAAAUAUGAAAAUAAAAACAUUUUUUGAAAUUCUUGAAAAUUUGUUGAAAUUGGCAACAAAUUUUAAAAAUGAGAAAAUAUUUUGAAAUUCCAAAUAAUUAUUACAAAUUUUCAAACAAAAGAAACAUUUAAAAGGAAAUAGAAAAUAGGAAAUAAAAAAGAAAUAAAAAAGAAAAUGAGAGAGAAGCAGAACAAGAAAAAAAGAAAAAGAAAAUGAGAGAGAAGGUUCUAGAAGGUUCCCAAAACCGAUAAAAACCGCUAGGAACCCUCUAGAAGAUUCCCAAAACUAUAACGUUGUACAUAUUACAGAUUGGCUGGCCCAAUCGCUCGCUCGGACGCUUCCUAUGUGCGAUUGGUCGGUAGUUUGAUGCAAAAUGCAUUAAACAUGGAUUUCCGGAAAACUUAUCGUGGUCUAGACUUAAGUAACAAAAAAGGGUAGAAGUAGCCCAGUUGUAGCCCAAAUUUGAUAUCUAUAAUUGUCUGAGUGCCGACCGUGUAGGUAAUCCCUAUUUUGCGCUUCAGGCGCCAGUUAUAGGCCAUUUUGCUUUUUUUUGAGGUAAACAGCUAAGUUUUAUUCAUCAAUCCAUAUGUCUACAAGUACUCCCUCCGUUCCUUUUAUGUAAGGUGUAUUAUUUCCGGCACGGUGACCAAGACACAGAAAUAUAUGCAUGUUAGGACGAAAUUACCCUUGACAAAUUUAUUUGUUAGUGCUAAGUAAAUCAGUUAGUCAAGGAAAUUAAAGUAUGAGAUACAUGCAAUUGACAGAGAGAUACUUUCCUUCUUUUGUUACAAGGAGAGAUACAGACAAUCAGGAGAGAGAUACUUUCCCUUUUUCUGGAGGGCUAACAAGAGAAUUAUGUGGAAUUAGAAAAAAUGCACCUUACAUUCUACAAUUUUAUCAAAAAACAAAUACACCUUAUAUAAAGAAACGGAGGGAGUAUUACAUAAGGAUCAUGUGGUUGCCCCAACCAAAUGUGGCGGCCUUGAUCCAACUUAAGAGCAUGCGUAGCUAGUUUAUGUGGCUCAACAUUUGAGCUCCUAGAUUAAAAUUUAAAAACACAAGAAAUGAAGAGAUAUUUCCACUCCAAAAUCUCCUUGACUACUCCACCAUAGUUUCCACCCUACACUUCCUUGAUAUGCUUAACAACUGUUUCGCAAUCCGACACGAUCACUAAGUUUGUAGCCCAAGAUCUUCUGCUAGUUAUAGUCCCUCCCGGCAUGCUAUAGCUCAAGACUGGCUGGGUCCGUCAGGCCCCGUAUGACAAAAACAAAAGAACCCAAAUAUGCACCUGAGCCAUUUCUACACACCGCGGUCGCUGUCCCGACACCACGAGAGACGGCGGCAUCAACAUUGAUCUUCAAAUGACCCUGAACAGCCGGAAUCCAUCUCCUUGGUGCUGCUACUGCUGUAUUACAUACCCAGUUCCCACUAGAGGGGUGAAUCUCUCCCAGCUCCAUAAUGAAGUGGGUAAUGAACAUAUAAGUGGACAGAGGGCUCUGAUCAAUUCCCUCAUGAAUCAGUCUGUGCCGCGCCCACCAUAUAGGCCAGGUAGUGACUGUUAACUUAAUAAAUAUCUCAUGCGAGAGCUGCUCAAACAGAGUAAACAACUAGUCCUCGCGUUCUGUUCAUUAUUUUCCAUCAACUCUUCGAUCAGCUCCUUGUCAACUAAUGACCACACACAACGAGCAGCCGUACAAUCCAGUAGGUUGUGCCUCCAAGAGUCCAGCAUGCCACAAAUAGCGCAAGUACAUGUUGCCGACAUAUUCUGGUGCAUUCUCAUGUCUUCCGUCGGUAUGGAAUGAUGCACUAGUCUCCAUAAAAAUACUCAGAGUUUCGUCUCCAUCAAAAUACUCAGAGUUUCGUUGGAACGUAAGUUUUCCAUAGUUUGACCCAACUCUUAUCCUCUUCCUUCCUACUCUAGGGCCCCGGGCGCUGUUCUAACAAGUCUUCACGCCGGCACUUUGUUUCAACUAUCAUACGAUAAGCAGACCUAAUAGAAAACUUCCCAGAUUUUUCAUGCAUCCAUCACCAGUAAUCAUCCACAACUCAAGCAAAUAGGGAUUUGCAGUAUCUCAGCCGCAUCACAAGGCAGAAAAACAUGGUUUACGAGCUCCAUAUUUCAUCGGGCGUUCACUGUAUCAAUUAAUUUAGAGACAAGUUGCGGUGGAUCCAGCACUCUAGACACCAUCGGCCUCAUGAACUCCGGUCUUGGGAUCCAGUCAGUGUUCCUGAUUUUCAUGGAGGAACCAUCACCCAGUGGCGGAGCUUGGGACACAUCUUAGGAGGGGCAAAUGGGCUGGGGGGAGGGGGGGCAACCAACAUCUGGUUUAGGCUAGAUUUCUAUGAAUCUGUGGGCAGUUUACUCAUGAUAAUAUGAACAAAUCUCCUGGGCAGGGGGGGCGAUGGCCCAGGUUGAUCUUCACUAAGCUCCGCCACUGCCAUCACCUAUGCAUCUAACCAAGCCCUAUUUCAUGAUAUCCCUACCCUCCAAUAUUGAUCUCCAAACCUGGGAAGGGUGAUUUGAUUUCCCAAGUUGGCCUCAAGGAUGGAGCAUGAGGGAAAAAUACACAAUCUUCAGUAUGCGAGCACCGAGAAUGUUGAGGGAAACUAGAAUCCUCCAAGAUUGUUGACCAAGUUGAACAAUUCAAAAUCCCUGAAACCAAGGCCACCCAUGUACCUUGGCAUAGUCAUCUUGUCCCAUGAAACCCAAUAGGGCUUUCUCUUCCCCUGUUUGCUUCCCCACCAAAAGGCCCUAAUAGCUGAAGUUUAUUUUUCACACAACCCACGUGGGAUCUUGAAACACGACAUCGAGAAGACAAGAAUAGCUUGUGCCACUGAUUUGAUUAAAACAUCUUUACCUGCUGCUGAAAGUGUUUUCUCCAUCCACCCUCUAAUCUGUUCCACAGCCGGUCAGCAGAUACUUGAAGGCACCAUUUUUGGAUGAUCCUACAUCCCCAAAUAUUUCUCACUUAGUUGCUCAUUGGGAAAUUGUAAAAUAAUCUUCACCUAUGCUCUUACCACUUUUGGACACCCUUUACUAAAGAAAAUCGAUGAUUUGUCUUUAUUUACUCUCUGUCCAGAUGCUCUAGCAUAGGCAAAAUGGACUCCGCCGACGAGUUCUUUUUCCGUAAAUUCCUUUGCGACUCCGACGAUUCAUCGUCCGAUGAUGAUGAGGAGAUCUUGGUGUUGGGGAACGUUGCAUGAAAAACAAAAAAUUUCUAUGCACACACAAGAUCUAUCCAUGGAGAUGUAUAGCUACGAGAGGGGAGAGUAUCUUCAUACCCUUGAAGAUCGCUAAGCGGAAGCAUUUAUCAACGCGGUUGAUGUAGUCGUAUACCUUCACGAUUCGUCCUGAUCAAGUACUGAAUGUACGGCACCUCCGUAUUCAGCACAUGUUCAGCUCGAUAAUGUCCUCGCCUUCUUGAUCCAGCAAGAGGGGCGAAGUAGUAGAUGAGUUCCGGCAGCAUGACGGCGUGGUGAUGGUGUUGGUGAAGAACAAUCCCGCAGGGCUUUGCCAAGCACAACGGAAACUAGACAGAGGAUAAACUAGAGUGACGGGGUUGCCAGCACACGGCUUAGUGAAUUUCGAUGUGUCCCGUGUGCUAGCCCCGCCUCUCUAUUUAUAUGUUGAGCCCUUGGUUAAAACUUGGAGUAAAAGCCUUCUCGAAGUCGGUUUUGCCCGAUAGGCAAGAGUCCUUCUCGGACUCGAGGACCAGACGCCACAGUCCUUGGCCUCUGGCCCAGACGCCAUGGGCCUCGACAUCUUGCCCAGGGCCAGACGCCAGGGUCUCCGGGAUUUGGUCUCUGACCUCCGCAAAACUUCCUUUUGCACCGACCUAAAGCCCCCUGGGCCUUACCCGUUGGCCUAACCAUAUCAUCAUAUAUAUCAAUCUUUACCUCCGGACCAUUCCGGAGCUCCUCGUCAUUUCUGUGAUCUCAUCCGGGACUCCGAACAACAUCCGGUCCACAACAUACAUAACUCAUAUAAUAUUAUAUCAUCAACGAACGUUAAGUGUGCAGACCCUAUGGGUUCGAGAAUGAUGUAGACAUGACCGAGACGCUUCUCUAGUCAAUAACCAAUAGUGGGACCUGGUGGAUGACCAUAUUGGUUCCUACGGGUUCGGUACUAGAUCGGUUGGAUCGUGAAGACGUUCGACUACAUCAACCACGUUAACCUAACGCUUCCGCUUUUGGUCUACGAGGGUACGUGGACACACUCUCCCCUCUCGUUGCUAUGCAUCUCCUAGAUAGAUCUUGCGUGAGCGCAGAUUUUUUUUUUGAAAUUGCAUGCUACGUUCCCCAACAAUUUGUGCGCUUUACCAAGACCAAUGUCGUGAAACACACCAUGGUAUAUUUUGUAUCUUUUCUCUUUUUUCCUUCAUAGCACUAUAUGGCAAGAUGUCUAACAUUGUGUGCUCUAUUUUGUUUCUAAUCACGGGGAUCAUAGAAAUUUUCUAUGCGACGUGGUUUAUUUGCAAGCUUUAGAUGUCUUGAGCAAGAAUCUAUUAGAUUAAGAUGGUUGCAAAACGGAAUUAAAAAGUAUAUGUGUGAAGCAAUUAUUGUUGAACUAAUAAAAAUACAUAUGCCCAUGUUCCAACACAUGGGUAAUUAACUAGUCUACUAUAGACAAACAUACAUUUAGCAAUCAACACCUUUCUUCUACCAGAUAUGUGUCAACACAUGCCAUUGCCUCCGGGAUUACCUCCAUGCCGCCGCCUUGGUUACCUUCCCCUCUCCAUUCCAACAGCCUUGUCGGUGAUUAGAUAAGUGGGGCAAUGUCCCUUCGUAAUUCUUAGUUAUAGUGAUUCCUUAUAUUUUUACCUUAGGUUUUGGUUUCACCACGGCAUCGAUGAGGUGGCGAUCACAUGGAUGGUUGGAAGAAGGUCUCUUUGGCAUGUCUCUACCUUGAAGACAUAUGAUCUGAUGCUUAUGAAGGGCCAGUGAGGAUAGGUGAUGCGAGAUAUCUUGGCUCCCUUUGGGUCUGGCACUUGAUGUGUGGAUAAAAGAGAGUGGUUGGCUAGCUUUUGGUGCAGUGACUUUGACUUCUUCUUUCAGUUCUAUCUAUGGCAAUCUGAUUUCUUCCACCCUGUAGAUUGGUGGAGUAGGAUUGAAUGUCUGCGCUGUUCAAUGGGUGACUAUUGCAUUCAACGGUUCAAGAAUGCACUAGAUGAUGCUCCUUCAACGGUUACUAUAUUUCUUUGCUAUCAAUGGGUGACACUUGCAUUCUUGAAAGGCUUAUGUGAUGAGGGUGUCCGCAACUCUUCCUUUUCCGUACAAUCUUCUCAGUGCAUUCUUCAAGCUCAAGUAUAUGACAAACUGUCGAAGGAAGAUGUCAAGAAAGGCAUUGAAUAUGAUAUUAUUUUUAGAGGUCGUUUUAUGCCACGUUACCCCUUUUGUACUAACUAUUGUAUUCACUAAUAAAUAUUAUCUGUAAGAUGCCCUUGGGUAUCAUCUCUAAAAAAAUAUAGACACUUCUAUCAAGAUAUUUGUUGGAUACUUCUCUAUAGUUCAAACACUUUGUCAUUAUGUUGCAGGACACAAAAUGCAGUAGGACGUAUACAUGUCUUAAGCCUUAUAUUUACUAUUUAUUAACCAGGAUAUGUUCUUUCUGAUUGUUCAUCCCCACCUCUCACGUAUAUUUUACUGCUAAGGAUAUUCUAAAAAAUGACAAACUAACUUGAAUUCAAGAUAACUAAUCUACAAUAAACAAAACUUAACCACGCCUGUCAAAUCUCUAAAAAAUUAUAAUAAAUAUAUAGAGGCCUGUAAUUUCAUAUUUAUCUUUAGUUUUCUGCAUGCCUAGAAAGAGCCAAUCUAAAAUAUUUUCCUAAAUGCAAAUUUAUCAAGAUGAGAACAAUUCAUGUUAUUUCUAUUGUAAAAUGCAAUUCAGAAUCAGACUAAACGGUUGGAAAUAUUAAACUUAUGUGGUUAAUUUUGUUAGGUGUAAUAAAAAACUGUAUUUACAAAAUAAUCAUAAAACUUCUUCCUGGAAAUACCAAGGGUUCAUCAGUCCAAUCAGACCAGUUUAUGUAUUCAAUGUAAGACCCACCAUGAGAUGCAAGUCUGUCUCUUCAAGCUCUUAGCUGAUGCAUAAGAAAUCGGGGCAGCAAAAAAGUUCUGUCGAAAGGUUUGAUGAUUGGGCAGGAACAAAUUCGUUUGAAUCAACGAGCUACUGGUUAUGGGCAGCAAGUUAGUAUUAUUCUUGCUCAAUAUAAUGCAUGCAUUUUCAUUUUUUGUGUAGGUUGCUAUUUGUGAUUCACCUCAAUGUACUUGGUUUUUUGAUAGUUCAUUUCUCAUACGACAUGAACUUCUGGUUGUUCUUACUGAAAGUGUAAUUCAAUAUGACCUAAGUUAUACAAUAUGAUUUUUUUCUUCAAUUGAAAAUAAUAAUUUCCGGAUUUUACAUUCUUGCAAGGGUAGAAGAGGUUGCAGACAAACCAAUUUAUAUGUGGACACUUCAUAUUGUCAGUGGGCAUACUCUUGGUCAUUUAUGUGCUGCAAUGGUGCCUCUUUUUUUUAUUCUCAUGUUAGCGAAAAGGACAAGGCCAAUUUAACCAGAAAGGUAUGAACUGAUAAUUCCAUAGACUCAUGUGUAAAGUGGAAUUUGAUUCAACCGUGCAUGAUUUUUCUUACCAAACUUAAUGUGGUGAGUACCAGUCCAACAAAUACUUUCCUCGUUCCUUUCCAAAUAUUUGUGUUUCUUCAUCCAGUCUAGUUCUGCUAACAAUUUCACCACAUUAAGGUUGGAUUUGCUCAUGUGACAUGGUUGUUUGUUUGGUUGUGUGGUGAAGGGCAUGUGCUUGGAGAUGGGGAAGUGUCUCAUCCAUGAUCCACACAAUAUAUUUGAUGCAUUUAUUGGAUACAUUUAUUUAACAAUCAUUGAAAAAAUUGCGAACGCCACUGCGUUGCAUCAUUAUGCCAUACAUUAUUUUAUUGCAUUCAUCUGCUUAUGCAUUUUGGCCACCACUAGAGUUUCCAUUGUUUUAUAAGUAUAUUGUAAUUUUUAUGCUGACCAAUAUGUCCAAAUGCUCUUAUAUAUCAACUACUCAACCAUAUGCAGUGCGUGUUUAUGUCUUGUAGGGGUAAAAUCAACAACAAAAACAACAACAACAACGACGACGAUAACAAAGCCUUUAGUCCCAAACAAGUUGGGGUAGGCUAUGCUGAAACCCAUAACAUCUCACAACGAACUCAUGGAUCUGGCACAUGGAUAGCUAGCUUUUACGCACCUCUGUUCAUGGUUAGUUCUUUGGUGAUACUCCAGUCAUUCAGAUCUCACUUUACGGACUCCUCCUAUGUCAAGUUUGGUCUACACCGACCUCUCUUGACAUUAUACUCCUUAAUGACCCUCUCUUUGGAUGGUUGAGCUACCCCCGGGCUUCCACCACUUCGUUCUAGUGACUUUGGCACGCUUAUCCUGUUGGGACAUGAAUCCGAAAGAGAAAGUCAUUCACCACAAGCUUAUGCUGAGGGACAACACUCUCUCCAGGUAUCACCUUACAAUCAAGACAAGCACGCCAGUCUUCUCUUCUCAAGAGGAUGAAAUCAAUCUCACUAGAGUGUUGACCACUACUAAGAGUCACUAGAUGUGAUUCGUGUUAAAGUGGAUGUUAGCUAUGAUCAUCGUAGGCUAGAGGAAAUCUUAAGACAUCUUCUCCUUCUUGAUUCCUGAUGCGAUAGCCAAAGCCCCGAUGCAUCGCUUCAAAACCUAUGUUAGAUGUAUCCACGUGGCCAUUGAGGUAUCCUCCUAUGAAGAGCUUCUUGCCAAUAGGUACUCCUAACCAUGUUCUCCAUGCCUUCCUAGAACUCCUUGGUGUUCUCAUUGUGGCCUACUUGCGGGGCAUACACGUUGAUAACAUUUAGAACUAAGUCCCCAGCUUGACCAGGACAAUCUGGUCCCCACGCCUCCUGACGUCUACCACUCCACACUUGAGGCUCUUGUUGAUCAAGAUGUCUAUUCCAUUCCUGUUUGUAGUUGUCCCCGUGUACCAUAGCUUGAAGCCGGUAUCUCCACCUCCUUUGCUUUCUAUCCUCUCCAUUUGGUUUCUUGGACUCAAAAUGAUAUCAACACCUCUCCUCACCGCUGUAUGAACUAGCCCCUGAAGUUUACCUGUCAGGGUUCCUAUUUUCCAGCUACCUAAACGAGUCCUCCUAGGCUCGGCUAGCUUCCUUAUUCUUCACAGUCGUCGAGUCAAAUGCGAAGACCCUUCAUUUUUCAUUACACGCGGGCGUCGAUGUAGCGCACCACUAAGGAUGCGAUGUGACGACCUGAUCCUUGCUCACUUGUCACCGUAUCCAGAUCAAGAUACUACGCGCCACCUGGUGGGUGACGGCCCGGCCCUUGCCCAUUUGACACAACACCAGGGUUCUGAUAUGGCGCAUCGCUGAGAGGGUUACGCCCCAAAGAUUUUAUUCUAGGUUCAUCUCCAUUAAGAGUGGCUGAGUUCUUGAUGUUGGCUCGCCAAGCCUAUCACAACUCUCGUUUACUCGGGCUUGGGACCGGCUAUGUUGAGACAACAUAGGCAGAGUUGUCUUGUAGGGUACACACAAAGAGUAUAAUUUUGAUUACAUGAUCUGACAAUUUCCCUCGUUUCAGACACAUGAUUCUAGUGCAUCAUCAAUUAAUGCUUGCUUUCAUGGUCUGCUUAUUGGUGCCCAAGAUGAUCUGCCUAUGGAUGCCCAAGUUACAAGUAUGAUAAUCUUCUGAUCCAUGUCCAAGCAAAUAAGAGUCACUCCACAUAUUGACCAUGUUGCUGCUUUGUCUAGAGGCCUGACACUACAUAAUUACUAACCUCCCUUGACAAUUGACUCAUUCCAUACCAUACUAUGUGCAUUAUGUUAUUAUGGAGGUAAUUAUACAAUGAUAACUUUACUACCAUGUCAUGCUUUCUCCACAAUUUUAGAAAGUAAAAUCUGUCUCUAGCAUGCAUGUGAUUCUUGCAUUGAUAUUUAUUUAUUUGGAUAACCUAAUUAACUUCUUCCACACUCGUGAAAAUUAGAUAAGUUCUUUUUCAUGUGUGACUUAUUGACUGUGUUGUUGCUCUAAAUCAGGUUAGUGCCAAAAUGUAUGAAAUCAACAUUUUGAUGUGGGAGUUUAGUGCUCGUCAUGUGGCUAAUCAGGCAAAGACCUCAGAGGAGCGAGGAAUGUUAGAAACCCCAAUUUGUGCUCCGCAAAUAGUCCCGCGUAUUCGUGGCCUUUAUGGGAUGGACAUUCUUACAAAGUGAACGAUCGGAUGAGUCCAUAUUUGGAUUAUGGGGCACGUCCGCUGUUGGCAAGACACGGCUUCUUUCGCUUAUCGCUGAUAGCUAUGCUGAUUCAUUUCAUCACGUCAUAUUUCUUGAUGGUGGCAGUUGCCUGAGAGUCAUGCAAAAUCAUUUCGCAUAUUUUUUGAAAUUGGAUUGGGAGACAAUCUCAUUGUUAGAGGAGCAUUACCGAGCUAAAAUCAUUAUGGAGUACCUAAGAGCAUGUCAGUUUUUUGGUUCUGUUAGACGAUGUGCAAGAUGAAGUCUACCCAGAUUUAACAGCUCUUGGUUUGCCGAUGGCUGUUGGGCAUCGGCAAAAAGUUGUUCUUACGGCGAGGAGUCAGGUAGUAUGUGCUCGCAUGGAAUGCACCAUAUCAAACACUCUGGAGAUGAAGUGUCUUGGGGAUGAAGAUGCUUGGAGUCUUUUCGAGUAUAAUGCGGGAGUAAAAAUCACAGAAGCUAAUACUGAAAUUUAUGAAUAUGCAAAACAAGUAUUAUAUAUUUCUACAUAAUAACUUUUCAGAUAUACGUUUAACCUACAAAUAAAAACUGUGCACUAUAAUUUAUAGUUUAUAUUGGUUAUUAGAUGGUUUCAGCAUGUGGAGGGUUGCCUAGAGCCAUAUGUGCUAUUGGCCUGGGCAUUCGGUUACACCGAACCGAUCGGUUCGGUGCCUCGGUCUAUUUUUAAUUUCGGUUUCCAAAUUUUAUGGACCGAUCGGUCUUUUGAGAAUUCACUAACCGAGGCUUUCGGUCCAGCGAGAAUUCGGCUCGGUCCUCGGUUAUAACCGAAGGGGACUUGUUUUCUACGGAAACACUAACGCCCACAUGUGUGGGCGUUCUCCAACUCGCCCACACAUCUAGAUGGUCGUUGAUUGUCUUUUGCACGAAUCUUGACACGAAAAGGUGGAUUUGAUGUGCCACAUAGGACGGGGCUAGUGUGUGGGCGUUGGAGAGUUUGCCCACACGCCCCGCAUCACGCUGUUGCCAGCUGCGAUGUGUGGGUGAACUAGUUUCUGCCCACACAGCCACCACCUAGUCCAUGCGCGUGUGGGCGAACUGAUUUUCACCCACACAACAAUCCUACAUUAUGGAUGGCAACUGCAGUUACGUGAACAUGGCAACUAGGUAAACAAACAUGGUAACUGUGAUUCUUUUGCUAGACGGCAACUGCAGUUGCGCGUGUGUGGCAAACAGAUAAACACACAUGGCAACUGCGAUUAACUGUGCAUGGCAACUAUGGUUGGACCACACGUGGCAACUAGGUAAACACACAUGGCAACUACUGUUUGAGCAUGUGUGGCAAGUAGUUAAUCACACACGGCAACUACGAUUUUAAUUACACGCGGCAACUACCAUAAAUUAGACAUGGCAACUAUAAUUGAUCAAAACAAAUAGAGUUGCCAUGCUUUUACAACUACACUUGCCAUCCCGGAUAACUACAUCUGCCAACCAGGAUGGCAACUAAAUCGUCAUCCCGCGGGUACCUAACGUUGCUGCGCUAGGACGUGUGGGCAUUUUUGCUUCGUGCCACACGCGUGGGGUGGAGAUGAGUAGUACUUGUUGGGCGUGUGGCACGAAGUAGCCGCGCCCACACGUGUGUGCAAUUCUAAUGUCCGCCCACACACAACCCGUGUGGGCUGCCUCCUGCUCACACCACACAUGGUGUGUGGCCAGACCCUUUAACGCCCACACGUGUGGGCGUUAUCGACGUCCUUUUUCUAACUUGAAGAGAGAACAUACUGGAUUGGAAGGAAUAAAUCGGAAGGCAAAUUCUAAGCGAGAAACAAGUUCGGAAAAGGAAUCGAUCCAAACAUGCAUUGCGCUGCCUAAUAUGGCUCAAUCAGGCCGCUCGUGGCAACCUUUGCAUAGCAUACAUGAAUGGUACAAGGAAAGACAUACAAUAGGAUACUAGAUAGGGAUCGCGCCGUGGCGCGAGGGUGCUGGUCAAAAUGUUUGUAUGCACAUAAUAAGAAGCUACUUAACAAUGCAUGAACAUAGAAAGCAUUUUUCACGAUAGGUUAGCACCAAAUAUCUUAGGCAUAGAAGAUACGACAACACGUCGCUUAAAGACAAUUUACAACUAUGCAUAGAUAACUUUAAGUUUUAGGCAUAACGUAGACGUUUAGGCAUAGAAGAUACGACAACACGUCGCUUACAGACAUUUUAGGCAUAGAAGAUACGGUAACACGUCUCUUACAGACAAUUUACAACAUGGGUCUUGCCGUCCUCAUGAACAACGCGUUCAUACUGAGCCGGUGAUAGUCCAAGGUGUGCCAGGAGCAUGCCAAGAAUUGCCGUGUGUGGGAUCCUAAGCACUCGCUUGGUGUCCUGCAGUUCCCAAUAAUAUAAAACAUAAGGCCUUGGGGAAUUGCCCAAAACAAUUGCGGAUAAAAGCAACCAUAGUGAUAAAAAAGAUAUGCCAAGCCUAUCCUUUAAUCAGGAUUUUGUUUAGGAUGUGCCAAGCAUUUAAAAAAACAGACUAUGAAUCAGGAUUUUGUUGCAAACAUACUGAAUGAUGGAAUGAGAAGAGGAAUAUAUUCAUGAAAUAAAGCAAGAGAGAUAAAGUUGAAAGGAAAGAAGUGCAGAGCUUGCAGGUGAAAAACAUCAUAUAAAAUGUAUAAUCACCAAUCAGGCAAUUUCAAGAUAUCAUGACUUAUUGCUGUGAUUAAAACAAAGCUUGUUGAUGAAUGAUUGGAAUCAGCUAUUCACUGAAUAAAUAUAUUCAUGGCGUAGUUUCAGUUUUGUGCCAUGAAGAGAGGCCGUCGAGUGUGAUAUCUAGAACAGAGAUGACCAUAUAUAUCAAGAAUGGUGAGGUAUGAAGAAAACAAACUCUCUAAGGAACACAUGCAGGUAGGUAUUUUUUUCUUGGAUUCUAUUGCUUCUACCUGAAUCUCAAGGUAUACAGUGACAUCCACGAUUAGCGGAAUUAAGCAACAACGACAUGCUCUCUGAUUUCAAUGUAACAUGUUUCAAUUCCUCUAUAACCCCUGUGUUUUAUCAAAACAAGCGCACAAACAAGAUAAUCAUCGAAACAAUAUUAUGUUCUCAACAAGGCUAUGUGCAUUCUUCUCAAGUCUGAGAUAUGCACGUACUGUGGUCUUAGAUCAAUUGAUAAUCACCAGAACUAACUACAGUACAUAGUUUGUGAAUCAAAAGUGAGAAAAUACCAGGAAGAUGAUUUGUGUAGUUGCAAGAGCUCAGGGGAAAGGAGAGUAGGCGGACCUGCUUGCUGGAGCUCCUUGACUGGCCAGUUGAACGUGCAGCCACAGUCGAGAGAGUGCUACUACCUUACAUGAGAGCAUGUUAAAUGGAAAAAACUCAAAUCCCUAACAAGAACAUUUUUUGAAAGAUCCAUAAAAUCCAGAUCGGGAUAGCGGGACUAACACGAACUCAUCCUUCACGCGAGCACCGCCACUCGAUGGAGAUGGUCGGUACCCCACGCCACUCCACGCAUCAUCAUAUUCCUCCUUCACGCGAGCACCGCUGCUCGGCAGCCUCCACAUCUGCCGGCUCGGCUCCCUCGGCGGCCGCUGUGCCCCACGCCGACAUAAGCGCCCAUCCAAAGGGAAAUAAAGAAGUAGACAACAAAACAAAGAGCGAUGUUAAUAUAACCACAUCAUUCAAUUCACGUGUCAAGAUACAAUAGGAAGUCUUUCCACCAAGCGGCUUGAUACAUACAAUUAAACUCAGGAAAAUAAUUUUCACCACUCAUAGAUAAUAAGCAGCUGUAAGGGGGCACACAGACAACCGCAUACCAGUAUACAUGCAAAUAACUUCAAAUAAACGUAUGCCACAGGAAAAGUAAACUCCAACAUAUUACCAAAGAGACAAUAAAAGCUCUGAGCCGAAAAAUCUAAGAAAUGCUCAAAUCAGUUUACUUAAUAGUUACGAAAUUAAUUAUUCUCGGUCAGGUGGUUCUGGUAUACUUAAGAAAACACUUGUAGACUUCAAGUACAGAUAAAUACUCAAGCUACAUGGAACUAUAGUCAACAACAUAGUUCUAUAAUAACAAGUGAUUCCAAUUAAACACAAGUGCUCAGAACCAUGGAACUGGAGCUUUAUAAAAUCAUGCUACUAAUUAUCUUAGAGACCAAUUAAACUCAUAUGCGGACCAUGGUCAACUGUGGGUUUAUACACUCGUCAGAAAUAUUGGCCACGAAAAACAUAACAGCAUUAAUACAGUCAACACAUACCUCAAGUACUGAAGGACUGAGGCACUGAUCAUCUGUUUGACUCAUUUUCACUUCUGCAUACGCUACUUUUAUAAAGUGAUCGAGCAGGGGUGCAGCAUCGUCGAGCAGGGGCGGCGGCGACAGCCAGACCACCUUGAGCACCACGGUCCGGAAGCCAAGAGGAUGAGCAGACGAAAAUCAGAAUGGAUUAACCAGGAAACCCUAGACAAAUCCCAAAAAAACAACAAAUCCCUUGAUGAGCACAUACACAUCACAAAGGGAAAGACAAACAAGGGAGCAAAUAAUCACCUCAGCCAUCUUAGAAGCCCACUCGGUGUGCUCCCUCUCUGGCCGACCCGCAAGACAGCCCCAACGCCACGCCACCGUCCCAACCGUGAAACAGCCAGAGAAGCAAGGAAGAUGGUAAGAAACAAGCGAAAUAAAAGGUAGUGGGAUCCAAUACAAACAUUAACCAUCCUAAAGACGUUGUUAUUAGAAACAUGACACUGUGGUUUCUGAUGGUUUAUCAUCAAAUUAAAACAAGACAUUGAACCGACGACUUGCUUACUCUUAACCAGAUGAAAUCAAGGACCAACAACAAACAAUAAAAGUCAAGAACAACUUAUAUGCAAUAAAGGUAUGAGAGGGAAGAAAUAUUCACAUAAGACGGCUAUAAACACUGGAGCAUAAAUAAGCAACACCUUUAAAUACAAAUAAAAGGGUUCCGGGUUCAAUGCAUAGUGGGCUCAGAUUUGCCUUUCCUCGAUCAUAUAAUCUACCCCCGCCAUCUCUUGUCACCAGAUUAAUUUGUUUAUACAGUGGAGCUGCCCUUGUUAUCACUCAACAAGAAUGACCAUCCAAGGACAGAACAAUAAGUAUCACAUGAUCAAAAAGUAUUCUAGAGACAAGAGGGAGGACCCAACUUGAUACCCACAGGUGCCUUGAUUGCUCAAAGGAACACUUAUUUCAGCCACAGCGAAUCAUCAUCGCCCUAGCAAGGAUGGCUUCCAACUGGUGGCGCACGUGCGAAUAAAAAGGGUUCAGGGUUCAAUGCAUAUGGGCUCAGAUUUUCCUUUCCUCGAUCAUAUAAUCUACCCCCAUCAUCUCUUAUCACCAGAUCAAUCUGUUUAUACAGUGGAGCUGCCCUGAUUAUCACUCAAUAAGAAUGACCAUCCAAAGGACAGAACAAUAAGUAUCAGAGGAUCAAAAAGGAUUCUGGAGACAAGAGGGAGGACCGAACUUGAUACCCACGGCUAAUCAUCAUCGCCCUAGCAAGAAUGGCUUCCGACCGAUGGGGCACGUGAUUCAAACGCGGUGGCACGAGAUAUCUCAUUUUGGGAGUAACUAUACAUUCCCGCGGUAACUUUUUUUAUCCGAUGGACGAGGUCGUUACAGGGAUCGAUCCGACGGCCCAAGAUCCAUCAAGCAACCAGAUCCGACGGCCAGGAAUCCCAAAUCGCUGAGGAGCAGCCUGAGGAGCUUCUAUUCUUAUUUCUGGAUGGACUUAUUUCUGGAUUUCUGGAUGGAUCACCGGAUCGAUAUGUUCUUACGAGGGUUUAACUGCCAUGCUUAUCACUCAUUAGAAAUGACCAUCCAAGGUCAGAGCCACUAAAAUAAGAACGUGAUCAAAACAGCUCAAAGAAACAAGGGAGGAUCCAAAUUAAUACCCACAAGUGCCUCGACUACUUGAGAGCAUGCCUAUCUCAGCCAUAACUGAUCAUCAUAGCCCUGGCCAUGUCCCAUAUAGUCGUCGAAGCAAAGCAGGGGAAGAUGGAGCUCACAGAGGGAGGUUGUAGCCGAGGCAGUACUCAGAGGGCACCAGGGUUGCGCCUAAACGCCAUCCAACUAGUGAGGAACCACGUCGGAGUUGCGCCUUGCACCAUCCCGCCGACGAGCACGAAAGCCAUGGGCACCGAAGUGGCCAAGGAGGCGAGGAGGUGAUGUAUAGCACAUCUAGGAGCACCAUCAGAGACGACCGGGGCAACGAGCAGGCAGGGAGAGAGGCGAGGCGGCAGGGAGAGGAAAGGGCACGAUGUGAGUGCAGGCCUGCAGGGAGCGGAACAUUAGCUAUUUUUUCUUUCGCAGUAUAUAGGAAGUAUCAAACAUAUCAUAUAAGUGCAAUCAUCUUUGAUAAUAUAAGAGAGCAUAAAAAUCACAGAGCUUGUUUAAGAUAUUUUGUCACAUCAAGUAGUUUAGAUAAGAAAAGCCUAACCCAGAGUUACAAAUAAUUGGAGCGAGUGAUAGAUUUAUUAUUCUGAUAAUUUGGUAGUGACUAUACAUAAAUAAUUCAUUCGCCAACAGUAAAAAAUAUGCGAUGCAUUAUUUACACAAAACAAUAUUUUUUUGUAUAGGGUCAGAAAGAUAUUUCAGCAUUCAAAUCAAUAAGGCUGAAAUAAUCUAAGAGUAUUAUCACUAUAGAGCAACAAUUUAUGAACUCGCUGUCAGUCAAAAGUAUUAUCACUACAGAGGAACAAUGAUUUACAGAGAAGGGGAUGAGUAAGGUUUGUUUGCUCAGGACUGUGCAUCAACUAAUCACCUAAAGUAAUUUCAAUAAAUAAAAAUUUACAUAUCGACCAAGAUAAACGUCAUGGUUAAAAAAUACGUUGAUAAUAUAUACAUCAAUGACAUCUCAAAGCUCAUUUCACAACAAGACUAUUGUAAACUUGAUAUAAAUAUAUAAUGGCCCCAUAAAGAUCCCCAUCUGUAGAAACCAAGUGAAAAAUCGUUUGGAAUAUGGUGUUUAGAUAUCACUGCCCAUAAAUAUAUAAUGUCGCAUGAAAAAUGGUGUUUGUUCUAAAUGGUCACUGAAAAUACUUGUUCUUGCGCUGCAAACAUACACAGAUAAAGGGCAAGCCAACAACCGUAGGUAUUCAGUAGGCCUAUACACAUACACCUAUUUUCCUCUAUUCUAGAAUCAAGAUGCACUUUCAUGUAUUGUUAGAUUAUUUCUCAUCGUAAAGAGGAUCGAGCCAAAGCUUGAUUAUAAGUAUGUAAGCAAACAAUAUGGACAGAAGGAACAAACAUUGGGUGUCAAAUGCAAACAGUAAGCUUCAGAGAAUUUACAUCUCCUAAAAUCAUUCAAGGGAUAGUAGCCUUUUGACUACAUGGUAGGUUGGUAGGUAGAAAUACGUUCAUAUACAUUGACAUCAACAUUUUUAACCUGGGAAUAGAUAAAAAAACGGCAAAGACGCAUCUCAUAUAAUCAAAGUAAACAUGGUAGAUCCAAAGCAAUGUAUCUAAGACUUAAAUUAAGGGGAAAAUGCAAACUAAUUAAAGAUUGAAGCCAUCAAUUUCACCCCCACAAUUUGCAAAUUGUAAUGUUCUCAGAUGAACUAACUGAAUAUAUUUACAUAAGGCAAGAGAAAUCAUCAUCACUGAUAUUCCCUACAGACCUAGGUCUCUGCCAAGAAUCACACAAGUUCCUUGAUGCUCCAAAAACCAAGCGAUGUUCGAGCAAGGGAAACACGAAAAGGCGCGAGGAGAGCUCCGUCGGGAGGGAGAGGGGUAGGGUUCGUACCUUGACUACAUGAGUUCACUGUAACUUCACCUCCGGAUCCAGGCGAGGUACUCUGUAAUUUAGAAACAGAGAUUCACUACGGUGGGUCAACUACGGCACAAUCGCUGGUGAGAACAUCAGAAGAACUUAUUUUCAAACUGAAUUAAGGAAAAACAAUUGUUGCAAGUAAAUUUACCCUCUAAUUACUGAUAAAGCGCAACAACAUUCAGCUAAUGAGACAUGAGAAGGAACUUUUCAUACUGUAAUAAGGAAAACUGGGCAACAUCAAAUAUCAUCUCAUUGAUUCUGCUAUAUAACAUAUAUUCACAUAAACCAUAAGAUAUGAUUGGAACUGCAAUCUCUAAACCAAAACGGCAACAAUAGAAUCAAAGUCCACUGUAUUACUAUCUAGAAAUUGAAGAGGACUACAGAAGUAUUUUUAGUGUACAUCAAGCUUACCAGGAAAAAAAAGCAUAGCUCUUGAACUGCACAUACAUGCUUCACUAACAAAUCUUGGCCUAGCCAAAACAAAUUCACCACACCUGUACAUGAACAUUCAGGGAAAGAAAUGAAACACCACACGUGAAAAUGCAUCCUGAUAACUAAUUAACUACUCAGCAAAUCAAAUGGUAUGUUUGAAUGCCUCUUUGAUCCUAUGAAACUGUAUACAAAAGAUAAGUAAUUAUCUACUCGCCAAAUCCAGUAGUAUAUUUGAGUGACUCUUCUUAUCCUUUCUCUGAAACUAAUACAAAAGAGAGCUAAUUAGCCACCCGCAAAUCGAGUGUGAUAUUUGAACGCCUCUUCUGAUCAUUUCUCUUAAACAGUUUAGUUUACACCAACUUUAGUACUGAGCAGAAUAUGUAUGUAAAUAAACCAGAGGAGACUGGAAUUUACAUUCCUAAUUAACAAAAUCAGCUAUGUUACUAAAGGGCAGUGGCAAAGGAUAACCAUAUGCAGUUAAGCCUUGCUUAUCACCCAAUUUCAGAACCAGUCAGCCUUCUAUAAGUAUUAUCAUGCGUGCAAUCUGACACGAAGGCCAAAACAACACUAUCCAUCUUCACAAAAAUCCAUUAUACGCUUCGGUACAUCUGAGAGUUAAGGAUCUUCAUUUUUAUUUAGAUGAAAUUACUUGGUAGCUAACAAACAUACCUCGAGGGAUGUGCACACAUGAGAGAUCGCCGGUGCCCUUUCUAGCUUCGGCGGCAGACAUCCUCCCUUUGCUCUCCUUCCAAUAGAUAUUAGAGUACAUUAAACCAAAAACCAAAAGGGAACAAGGGAGUGGAAGACCAGGAAUUAAUCGGACCACAAGAAAUCUAAGGGAAAAAACUAAAAGAAGGCCAAACAAUACUUGUGCAGGACCAAAUGACGCAUCACAUAGCAAUGAAACUGGAGGUUAGAAAACUACUCAGACUUUCAUGCCAUCAUGGAUUCAAUCUGAUCUAAAUGUAACCAAAUAAUGCAUCGGAACCAUAUUGACUACUAAAAGGGCAAGCACAAGCUUGCCAAAUUUACCACAAAUGUAGCAUUGCAAUCAAAUGGGUCCAAUCUUGAUGAAAGCAAAAAUGUAUCAUAUAGCACGCACGCACACGAACAGUCACAUUAUCCUCAUCUUGCUGAAAGCAAAAAAUGUAUCAUGUACUGUAAAUUCAUACCUUGACCUGCAAAGGGUAUGGUCCAGUUUCAAUCAUGUUGGCCUUUAGAUAAGUUUUUGAACAACAAUUUCACCACCUGAACAAAAAGCAGAGGAAAGCUAGUAAAUACUUCCAACAUGUUCACCUCAGUAUAGUGGUCCUACUUAUCCAACGACCCAUAUAUCUCAAAUAGAACAGCUUAAUAUCUCAAACAACAGUGAACGUCCAGCAUGUUCUCCAAAGUUACAUAAUAUAACAUGUUCAAAGGCUGUCAAGAUCAAAAAAUAGCGAGGGGAUUUUGUAGUCACAUGGCAAAGGUAAUAAAAUUUCUUCUAAUUUAAAUCUCAGACAUCUCAAUGAAAUAAAUAAUUUGAUACAUAAUUGAAACUGAACCCUAAUCUUUUGUUGUUGAGUUGUCUUUUCGUGACUAUCAACACUUUCAGUUUUAGCGUAUGAGAUGUGUCUCUGCGUCCUCCUCCUCCCCAAGAAGUUAGGUAUUAAUUUUGAAAAUUGACAUUUGAGUGGUUUGGCGACAUGGCAUAGUAUCGGGAGGUUUCUGUGAGGAGCGAGGUGAGACGGCCACUGCCGCUGAAGGAGUGGGGAUGAUGCCAGAAUUUGACAAAAUACCAAAUUUGCAAUUCACAUGUAUCGAUUAUCAUCAGACUGUGAGACAGAGGACACCGCAUAACCAAGCUACGGCAAACAUGUAGAAGGGGAACCAUAAGUGAAAAACGAUGAAAGGAAAAAACGUAAUGGUAAAAGGCAUAUAGUAUCUUCAUAUAUGAAAAAUUAUGAAAGGAAAAAAAUGUAAUGGUAUUCUAUGGGGAUGUGUUGUAGCUUGCACCUUGAGAUAAAACUGUUUCUGUCAGCAGCAUGACUGCAUCUUGCAAGAACAUGUAGUCUCUCUUCUCUGUUUUGUCUUCUAUGUUAUGUGAACACAUAAACAGAACAAAUAUUAGACGAAAUAUGAAUUGUCUGGUUGCCUAAGAAAGUGCAUCAGAUUAAACUGUAGUAUAAUAAAUGUUCGCUUAAUGCAUUCAUCAACGGCUAGGGAGACCAAAUCAUAAUAAUCUAGGCAUACCACACCAAACAACAGAGGCCAAUGAACAUGCCAUUCUUCCUAUUCUCUUUCAGAAGCAUCAAUCCAACAGAAAACAAACCGAACCCUUUGUUUUUUCACAUGUCACUCGACAAAGAACAUCAUUUUCGAGCAAGCAAACAUGAAGGUGCCAAGUAAAAACACAAGACUAAACAGACACGAGCCAAGUGGACCAAUCCAAAUGCACCAGGCCAAUCCAAAAGGCACAUGUCCUGCUCCAUUCACCUCUUCCUGAAAGCUCACUACAAUCCUAGAGAAAGAUCCCAAUGAAGGAAAAGGUUUUCGGCCAGUUCAAGGGAUUGACUACGAUGAGACCUUCUCACCCGUAGCGAUGCUUAAGUCCGUCCGAAUCAUGUUAGCAAUUGCCGCAUUUUAUGAUUAUGAAAUUUGGCAGAUGGAUGUCAAAACUGCAUUCCUGAAUGGAUUUCUGAAAGAAGAGUUGUAUAUGAUGCAACCGGAAGGUUUUGUCGAUCCAAAAGGAGCUAACAAAGUGUGCAAGCUCCAGCGAUCCAUUUAUGGACUGGUGCAAGCCUCUCGGAGUUGGAAUAAACGUUUUGAUAGUGUGAUCAAAGCAUUUGGUUUUAUACAGACUUUCGGAGAAGCCUGUAUUUACAAGAAAGUGAGUGGGAGCUCUGUAGCAUUUCUGAUAUUAUAUGUGGAUGACAUAUUGCUGAUUGGAAAUGAUAUAGAAUUUCUGGAUAGCAUAAAGGGAUACUUGAAUAAAAGUUUUUCAAUGAAAGACCUCGGUGAAGCUGCUUACAUAUUAGGCAUUAAGAUCUAUAGAGAUAGAUCAAGACGCUUAAUUGGACUUUCACAAAGCACAUACCUUGACAAGAUUUUGAAGAAAUUCAAAAUGGAUCAAGCAAAGAAAGGAUUCUUGCCUGUAUUACAAGGUGUGAAGUUGAGUAAGACUCAAUGCCCGACCACUGCAGAAGAUAGAGAGAAUAUGAAAGAUGUUCCCUAUGCAUCAGCCAUAGGCUCUAUCAUGUAUGCAAUGCUGUGUACCAGACCUGAUGUGUGCCUUGCUAUAAGUUUAGCAGGGAGGUACCAAAGUAAUCCAGGAGUGGAUCACUGGACAGCGGUCAAGAACAUCCUGAAAUACCUGAAAAGGACUAAGGAUAUGUUUCUCGUAUAUGGAGGUGACAAAGAGCUCACCGUAAAAGGUUACGUUGAUGCAAGCUUUGACACUGAUCCGGACGAUUCUAAAUCGCAAACCGGAUACGUGUUUACAUUAAACGGUGGAGCUGUCAGUUGGUGCAGUUCUAAACAAAGCGUCAUAGCGGGAUCUACAUGUGAAGCGGAGUACAUACCUGCUUCGGAAGCAGCGAACGAAGGAGUCUGGAUGAAGGAGUUCAUAUCCGAUCUAGGUGUCAUACCUAAUGCAUCGGGUCCAAUGAAAAUCUUUUGUGACAAUACUGGUGCAAUUGCCUUGGCAAAGGAAUCCAGAUUUCACAAAAGGACCAAACACAUCAAGAGACGCUUCAACUCCAUCCGGGAUCUAGUCCAAGUGGGAGACAUAGAGAUUUGCAAGAUACAUACGGAUCAGAAUGUUGCAGACCCGUUGACUAAGCCUCUUCCACGAGCAAAACAUGAUCAGCACCAAAGUUCCAUGGGUGUUAGAAUCAUUACAGUGUAAUCUAGAUUAUUGACUCUAGUGCAAGUGGGAGACUGAAGGAAAUAUGCCCUAGAGGCAAUAAUAAAGUUAUUAUUUAUUUCCUUAUAAUCAUGAUAAAUGUUUAUUAUUCAUGCUAGAAUUGUAUUAACGAGAAACAUAAUACAUGUGUGAAUACAUAGACAAAGAAAGUGUCACUAGUAUGCCUCUACUUGACUAGCUCGUUAAUCAAAGAUGGUUAUGUUUCCUGACCAUAAACAAUGAGUUGUUAUUUGAGUAACGAGGUCACAUCAUUAGUUGAAUGAUCUGAUUGACAUGACCCAUUCCAUUAGCUUAGCACCUGAUCGUUUAGUAUGUUGCUAUUGCUUUCUUCAUGACUUAUACAUGUUCCUAUGACUAUGAGAUUAUGCAACUCCCGUUUGCCGGAGGAACACUUUGGGUGCUACCAAACGUCACAACGUACCUGGGUGAUUAUAAAGGAGCAUUACAGGUGUCUCCAAAGGUAGAUGUUGGGUUGGCGUAUUUCGAGAUUAGGAUUUGUCACUCCGAUUGUCGGAGAGGUAUCUCUGGGCCCUCUCGGUAAUGCACAUCACAUAAGCCUUGCAAGCACUGCAACUAAUAUGUUAGUUGUGAGAUGAUGUAUUACGGAACGAGUAAAGAGACUUGCCGGUAACGAGAUUGAACUAGGUAUUGGAUACUGACGAUCGAAUCUCGGGCAAGUAACAUACCGAUGACAAAGGGAACAACGUAUGUCGUUAUGCGGUCUGACCGAUAAAGAUCUUCGUAGAAUAUGUAGGAGCCAAUAUGGGCAUCCAGGUCCCGCUAUUGGUUAUUGACCAGAGACGUGUCUCGGUCAUGUCUACAUUUGUUCUCGAACCCGUAGGGUCCGCACGCUUAAGGUUACGAUGACAGUUACAUUAUGAUUUUAUGCAUUUUGAUGUACCGAAGGUUGUUCGGAGUCCCGGAUGUGAUCACGGACAUGACGAGGAGUCUCGAAAUGGUCGAGACGUAAAGAUUGAUAUAUUGGAAGCCUAUGUUUGGACGUCGGAAGUGUUCCGGGUGAAAUCGGGAUUUUACCGGGUUACCGGGAGGGUUACCGGAACCCCCCGGGAGCUAUAUGGGCCAUAGUGGGCCUUAGUGGAAAAGAUAAGGGGCUGCCCUGGAUGGGCUGCGCGCCUCCCCCCUCCCCUAGUCCUAUUAGGACUAGGAGAGGUGGCCGGCCCCCUCCUCCUCUUUUCCCCCUCCGGGGAAUCCUAAUAGGAAUAGGAUUGGAGGGGAGUCCUACUCCCGGUAGGAGUAGGACUCCUCCUGCGCCUCCCUCCUUGGCCGGCGCCUCCUCCCCCCCUUGGCUCCUUUAUAUACUGAGGUAGAGGCACCCCAAAAGACACAAGUUGAUCCACGUGAUCUAUUCCUUAGCCGUGUGCGGUGCCCCCUGCCACCAUAUACCUCGAUAAUACUGUAGCGGAGUUUAGGCGAAGCCCUGCUGCUGUAGUUCAUCAAGAUCGUCACCACGCCAUCGUGCUGACGAAACUCUUCCCCGACACUUUGCUGGAUCGGAGUCCGGGGAUCGUCAUCGAGCUGAACGUGUGCUCGAACUCGGAGGUGCCGUAGUUUCGGUGCUUGAUCGGUUGGAUCGUGAAGACGUACGACUACUUCCUCUACGUCAUGUCAUCGCUUCCGCAGUCGGUCUGCGUUGGGUACGUAGACAACACUCUCCCCUCGUUGCUAUGCAUCACAUGAUCUUGCGUGUGCGUAGGAAAAUUUUUGAAAUUACUACGAAACCCAACAGUGGUAUCAGAGCCUAGGUUACUUAUGUUGAUGUUAUAUGCACGAGUAGAACACAAGUGAGUUGUGGACGAUACAAGUCAUACUGCCUACCAGCAUGUCAUACUUUGGUUCGGCGGUAUUGUUGGACGAGACGACCCGGACCAACCUUACGCGUACGCUUACGCGAGACCGGUUCCCUCGACGUGCUUUGCACAUAGAUGGCUUGCGGGCGACUGUCUCUCCAAUUUUAGUUGAACCGAGUAUGGCUACGCCCGGUCCUUGAGAAGGUUAAAACGGAGUCUAUUUGACAAACUAUCGUUGUGGUUUUGAUGCGUAGGUGAGACUGGUUCUUACUUAAGCCCGUAGCAGCCACGUAAAACAUGCAACAACAAAGUAGAGGACGUCUAACUUGUUUUUGCAGGGCAUGUUGUGAUGUGAUAUGGUCAAGGCAUGAUGCUGAAUUUUAUUGUAUGAGAUGAUCAUGUUUUGUAACCGAGUUAUCGGCAACUGGCAGGAGCCAUAUGGUUGUCGCUUUAUUGUAUGCAAUGCAAUCGCGAUGUAAUUACUAAACGGUAGUGAUAGUCGUGGAAGCAUAAGAUUGGCGAGACGACAACGAUGCUACGAUGGAGAUCAAGGUGUCGCGCCGGUGACGAUGGUGAUCAUGACGGUGCUUCGGAGAUGGAGAUCACAAGCACAAGAUGAUGAUGGCCAUAUCAUAUCACUUAUAUUGAUUGCAUGUGAUGUUUAUCCUUUUAUGCAUCUUAUCUUGCUUUGAUUGACGGUAGCAUUAUAAGAUGAUCUCUCACUAAAUUAUCAAGAAGUGUUCUCCCUGAGUAUGCACCGUUGCCAAAGUUCGUCGUGCCCAGACACCACGUGAUGAUCGGGUGUGAUAAGCUCUACGUCCAUCUACAACGGGUGCAAGCCAGUUUUGCACACGCAGAAUACUCGGGUUAAACUUGACGAGCCUAGCAUAUGCAGAUAUGGCCUCGGAACACGGAGACCGAAAGGUCGAGCGUGAAUCAUAUAGUAGAUAUGAUCAACAUAACGAUGUUCACCAUUGAAAACUACUCCAUCUCACGUGAUGAUCGGUCAUGGUUUAGUCGAUUUGGAUCACGUAAUCACUUAGAGGAUUAGAGGGACGUCUAUCUAAGUGGGAGUUCUUAAGUAAUAUGAUUAAUUGAACUUAAAUUUAUCAUGAACUUAGUACCUGAUAGUAUCUUGCUUGUUUAUGUUGAUUGUAGAUAGAUGGCUCGUGCUGUUGUUCCGUUGAAUUUUAAUGCGUUCCUUGAGAAAGCAAAGUUGAAAGAUGAUGGUAGCAGUUACACGAACUGGGUCCGUAACUUGAGGAUUAUCCUCAUUGCUGCACAGAAGAAUUACGUCCUGGAAGCACCGCUGGGUGCCAGGCCUGCUGCUGGAGCAACACCAGAUGUUAUGAACGUCUGGCAGAGCAAAGCUGAUGACUACUCGAUAGUUCAGUGUGCCAUGCUUUACGGCUUAGAAUCGGGACUUCAACAACGUUUUGAACGUCAUGGAGCAUAUGAGAUGUUCCAGGAGUUGAAGUUAACAUUUCAAGCAAAAUGCCCGAACUGAGAGAUAUGAAGUCUCCAAUAAGUUCUAUAGCUGCAAGAUGGAGGAGAACAGUUCUGUCAGUGAGGAUAUACUCAAAAUGUCUGGGUAUAAUAAUCACUUGAUUCAAUUGGGAGUUAAUCUUCCAGAUGAUUACGUCAUUGACAGAAUUCUCCAAUCACUGCCACCAAGCUAUAAGAGCUUCGUGAUGAACUAUAAUAUGCAAGGGAUGAACAAGACUAUUCCCGAGCUCUUCGCAAUGCUGAAAGCUGCGGAGGUAGAAAUCAAGAAGGAGCAUCAAGUGUUGAUGGUUAACAAGACCACUAGUUUCAAGAAAAAGGGCAAAGGAAAGAAGAAAGGGAACUUCAAGAAGAACGGCAAGCAAGUUGCUGCUCAAGAGAAGAAACCCAAGUCUGGACCUAAGCCUGAAACUGAGUGCUUCUACUGCAAGCAGACUGGUCACUGGAAGCGGAACUGCCCCAAGUAUUUGGCAGAUAAGAAGGAUGGCAAGGUGAACAAAGGUAUAUGUGAUAUACAUGUUAUUGAUGUGUACCUUACUAGAGCUCGCAGUAGCACCUGGGUAUUUGAUACUGGUUCUGUUGCUAAUAUUUGCAACUCGAAACAAGGACUACGAAAUAAGCGGGCACUGGCAAAGGACGAGGUGACGAUGCGUGUGGGAAAUGGUUCCAAAGUUGAUGUGAUUGCGGUCGGCACGCUACCUCUACAUCUACCUUCGGGAUUAAUAUUAGACCUAAAUAAUUGUUAUUUGGUGCCAGCGUUGAGCAUGAACAUUAUAUCUGGAUCUUGUUUAAUGCGAGAUGGUUAUUCAUUUAAAUCAGAGAAUAAUGGUUGUUCUAUUUAUAUGAGUAAUAUCUUUUAUGGUCAUGCACCCUUGAAGAGUGGUCUAUUCUUAUUGAAUCUCGAUAGUAGUAAUACACAUAUUCAUAAUGUUGAAGCCAAAAGAUGCAGAGUUGAUAAUGAAAGUGAAACUUAUUUGUGGCACUGUCGUUUAGGUCAUAUCGGUAUAAAGCGCAUGAAGAAACUCCAUACUGAUGGGCUUUUGGAACCACUUGAUUAUGAAUCACUUGGUACUUGCGAACCGUGCCUCAUGGGCAAGAUGACUAAAACACCGUUCUCCGGUACUAUGGAGAGAGCAACAGAUUUGUUGGAAAUCAUACAUACCGAUGUAUGUGGCCCGAUGAAUAUUGAGGCUCGUGGCGGAUAUCGUUAUUUUCUCACCUUCACAGAUGAUUUAAGCAGAUAUGGGUAUAUCUACUUAAUGAAACAUAAGUCUGAAACAUUUGAAAAGUUCAAAGAAUUUCAGAGUGAAGUUGAAAAUCAUCGUAACAAGAAAAUAAAGUUUCUACGAUCUGAUCGUGGAGGAGAAUAUUUGAGUUACGAGUUUGGUGUACAUUUGAAAAACUGUGGAAUAGUUACGCAACUCACGCCACCCGGAACACCACAGCGUAAUGGUGUGUCCGAACGUCGUAAUCGUACUUUACUAGAUAUGGUGCGAUCUAUGAUGUCUCUUACUGAUUUACCGCUAUCAUUUUGGGGAUAUGCUUUAGAGACGGCCGCAUUCACGUUAAAUAGGGCACCAUCAAAAUCCGUUGAGACGACGCCUUAUGAACUGUGGUUUGGCAAGAAACCAAAGUUGUCGUUUCUUAAAGUUUGGGGCUGCGAUGCUUAUGUGAAAAAGCUUCAACCUGAUAAGCUCAAACCCAAAUCGGAGAAAUGUGUCUUCAUAGGAUACCCAAAGGAGACUAUUGGGUACACCUUCUAUCACAAAUCCGAAGGCAAGGCAUUCGUUGCUAAGAAUGGAUCUUUUCUAGAGAAGGAGUUUCUCUCGAAAGAAGUGAGCGGGAGGAAAGUAGAACUUGACGAGGUAACUGUACCUGCUCCCUUACUGGAAAGUAGUUCAUCACAGAAAACUGUUUCAGUGACACCUACACCAGUUAGUGAGGAAGCCAAUGAUAAUGAUCAUGAAACUUCAGAUCAAGAUACUGCUGAACCUCAUAGAUCAACCAGAGUAAGAUCCGCACCAGAGUGGUACGGUAAUCCUAUUCUGGAAGUCAUGAUACUAGAUCAUGAUGAACCUACGAACUAUGAAGAAGCGAUGGUGAGCCCAGAUUCCGCAAAGUGGCUUGAAGCCAUGAAAUCUGAGAUGAGAUCCAUGUAUGAGAACAAAGUAUGGACUUUGGUUGACUUGCCCGAUGAUCGGCAAGCAAUUGAGAAUAAAUGGAUCUUUAAGAAGAAGACUGACGCUGAUGGUAAUGUUACUGUCUACAAAGCUCGACUUGUCGCAAAAGGUUUUCGGCAAGUUCAAGGGAUUGACUACGAUGAGACCUUCUCACCCGUAGCGAUGCUUAAGUCCGUCCGAAUCAUGUUAGCAAUUGCCGCAUUUUAUGAUUAUGAAAUUUGGCAGAUGGAUGUCAAAACUGCAUUCCUGAAUGGAUUUCUGGAAGAAGAGUUGUAUAUGAUGCAACCGGAAGGUUUUGUCGAUCCAAAAGGAGCUAACAAAGUGUGCAAGCUCCAGCGAUCCAUUUAUGGACUGGUGCAAGCCUCUCGGAGUUGGAAUAAACGUUUUGAUAGUGUGAUCAAAGCAUUUGGUUUUAUACAGACUUUCGGAGAAGCCUGUAUUUACAAGAAAGUGAGUGGGAGCUCUGUAGCAUUUCUGAUAUUAUAUGUGGAUGACAUAUUGCUGAUUGGAAAUGAUAUAGAAUUUCUGGAUAGCAUAAAGGGAUACUUGAAUAAAAGUUUUUCAAUGAAAGACCUCGGUGAAGCUGCUUACAUAUUAGGCAUUAAGAUCUAUAGAGAUAGAUCAAGACGCUUAAUUGGACUUUCACAAAGCACAUACCUUGACAAGAUUUUGAAGAAAUUCAAAAUGGAUCAAGCAAAGAAAGGAUUCUUGCCUGUAUUACAAGGUGUGAAGUUGAGUAAGACUCAAUGCCCGACCACUGCAGAAGAUAGAGAGAAUAUGAAAGAUGUUCCCUAUGCAUCAGCCAUAGGCUCUAUCAUGUAUGCAAUGCUGUGUACCAGACCUGAUGUGUGCCUUGCUAUAAGUUUAGCAGGGAGGUACCAAAGUAAUCCAGGAGUGGAUCACUGGACAGCGGUCAAGAACAUCCUGAAAUACCUGAAAAGGACUAAGGAUAUGUUUCUCGUAUAUGGAGGUGACAAAGAGCUCACCGUAAAAGGUUACGUUGAUGCAAGCUUUGACACUGAUCCGGAUGAUUCUAAAUCGCAAACCGGAUACGUGUUUACAUUAAACGGUGGAGCUGUCAGUUGGUGCAGUUCUAAACAAAGCGUCGUAGCGGGAUCUACAUGUGAAGCGGAGUACAUACCUGCUUCGGAAGCAGCGAACGAAGGAGUCUGGAUGAAGGAGUUCAUAUCCGAUCUAGGUGUCAUACCUAAUGCAUCGAGUCCAAUGAAAAUCUUUUGUGACAAUACUGGUGCAAUUGCCUUGGCAAAGGAAUCUAGAUUUCACAAAAGGACCAAACACAUCAAGAGACGCUUCAACUCCAUCCGGGAUCUAGUCCAAGUGGGAGACAUAGAGAUUUGCAAGAUACAUACGGAUCUGAAUGUUGCAGACCCGUUGACUAAGCCUCUUCCACGAGCAAAACAUGAUCAGCACCAAAGUUCCAUGGGUGUUAGAAUCAUUACAGUGUAAUCUAGAUUAUUGACUCUAGUGCAAGUGGGAGACUGAAGGAAAUAUGCCCUAGAGGCAAUAAUAAAGUUAUUAUUUAUUUCCUUAUAAUCAUGAUAAAUGUUUAUUACUCAUGCUAGAAUUGUAUUAACCGAAAACAUAAUACAUGUGUGAAUACAUAGACAAAGAAAGUGUCACUAGUAUGCCUCUACUUGACUAGCUCAUUAAUCAAAGAUGGUUAUGUUUCCUGACCAUAAACAAUGAGUUGUUAUUUGAGUAACGAGGUCACAUCAUUAGUUGAAUGAUCUGAUUGACAUGACCCAUUCCAUUAGCUUAGCACCUGAUCGUUUAGUAUGUUGCUAUUGCUUUCUUCAUGACUUAUACAUGUUCCUAUGACUAUGAGAUUAUGCAACUCCCGUUUGCCGGAGGAACACUUUGGGUGCUACCAAACGUCACAACGUAACUGGGUGAUUAUAAAGGAGCAUUACAGGUGUCUCCAAAGGUAGAUCUUGGGUUGGCGUAUUUCGAGAUUAGGAUUUGUCACUCCGAUUGUCGGAGAGGUAUCUCUGGGCCCUCUCGGUAAUGCACAUCACAUAAGCCUUGCAAGCACUGCAACUAAUAUGUUAGUUGUGAGAUGAUGUAUUACGGAACGAUUAAAGAGACUUGCCGGUAACGAGAUUGAACUAGGUAUUGGAUACCGACGAUCGAAUCUCGGGCAAGUAACAUACCGAUGACAAAGGGAACAACGUAUGUCGUUAUGCGGUCUGACCGAUAAAGAUCUUCGUAGAAUAUGUAGGAGCCAAUAUGGGCAUCCAGGUCCCGCUAUUGGUUAUUGACCGGAGACGUGUCUCGGUCAUGUCUACAUUUGUUCUCGAACCCGUAGGUUACAUUAUGAGUUUAUGCAUUUUGAUGUACCGAAGGUUGUUCGGAGUCCCGGAUGUGAUCACAGACAUGACGAGGAGUCUCGAAAUGGUCGAGACGUAAAGAUUGAUAUAUUGGAAGCCUAUGUUUGGACAUCGGAAGUGUUCCGGGUGAAAUCGGGAUUUUACCGGGUUACCGGGAGGGUUACCGGAACCCCCCGGGAGCUAUAUGGGCCAUAGUGGGCCUUAGUGGAAAAGAGAAGGGGCUGCCCUGGAUGGGCUGCGCGCCUCCCCCCUCCCCUAGUCCUAUUAGGACUAGGAGAGGUGGCCGGCCCCCUCCUCCUCUUUUCCCCCUCCGGGGAAUCCUAAUAGGAAUAGGAUUGGAGGGGAGUCCUACUCCCGGUAGGAGUAGGACUCCUCCUGCGCCUCCCUCCUUGGCCGGCGCCUCCUCCCCCCCUUGGCUCCUUUAUAUACUGAGGUAGAGGCACCCCAAAAGACACAAGUUGAUCCACAUGAUCUAUUCCUUAGCCGUGUGCGGUGCCCCCUGCCACCAUAUACCUCGAUAAUACUGUAGCGGAGUUUAGGCGAAGCCCUGCUGCUGUAGUUCAUCAAGAUCGUCACCACGCCAUCGUGCUGACGGAACUCUUCCCCGACACUUUGCUGGAUCGGAGUCCGGGGAUCGUCAUCGAGCUGAACGUGUGCUCGAACUCGGAGGUGCCGUAGUUUCGGUGCUUGAUCGGUUGGAUCGUGAAGACGUACGACUACUUCCUCUACGUCGUGUCAUCACUUCCGCAGUCGGUCUGCGUUGGGUACGUAGACAACACUCUCCCCUCGUUGCUAUGCAUCACAUGAUCUUGCGUGUGCGUAGGAAUUUUUUUGAAAUUACUACGAAACCCAACACCCAACCCUAGCAAGAUCCACACAACUAAGAAAUUGGAGAACACACUAUAUAAAAUUGUCAAGAAUGAUAAUAAGCAUGGAGAACUAAAAUGUACUAUCACUUCCAUGUAGCUGAGAACCUAAAAUUGGCAAGAAUACAACAUACGCAGAUUUAACAAUUUUCCAAAACAAUACAAAUUCUAGUGUACGUGCAUUGAGCAGAAUAUGGCCAACAAGCCAAGCAAGGCAACAAACAUGUACUCUGUAAAUAAUUAGCUAGAUCCAAGGCCUUCGUUGGCAACAAGGUAAAAACAAAACAAGAAAGACAAAGAAAAAUCUCUUCUUUGGAACCUAGCUAAAUCAGAGAAUUGGCUAGAUAAGAUAGAUGUGCAGGGGUAGGAAGAGGGGGUGGAGCUCACCAUGUUCAGGGGGGUAGGAGGAGGGAGGAGCCAUGAGGGCUCGUGCCUCGUCCACCUGCAGCAAUUGCUACUCAUCCAGAUCGGAAUCGACCUUGUCCACCAGAGGAGCAGGGACGCGUCCAUGCACCUGCGUGACCAAAAGCAGCAACAACGUGAGGGGAGGGGAGGGGAUUAGGGUUGGAGCAGGGAGGAGGGCGGCAUCCCGAGCAGGCCAUUGCGUGGGCGCGGAGCAGGCAUAGCACAAGCACUCGGAGGCCAAGGUCGGACGACAUCGCCAGCGAAUCUGCGAGCACCUUGGCCGCCGCCUGACCUGCUCACUCUCCCUCUUCUCUUCCCUUCCCUUCACUUCUGAUGAUGAGAGGGCGAGACGGCGGGCGGCGUGGUGCGAGGGAGACGAGGAGAGAGGUCCAUGGCGGCGCGGUCCGAGCGGCAGCGGUGGCGGCGAGGUCUGCAGGGCGUUGGUGGCGGCGAAGUGAGCGGGGCGGCGAGGUCUGGUGGAGGGAGAGGGCUGGGGCGAGCGGGGCUGGGAUGCGGGAGGACGGGGUUAAGGGCGCGAGUGUGGGGGAGAGGCGGCUAGGUCAUCUACACGGGAGCGGGCCCUUUUAUACCCCGUGCGAGUGAAAUUAUGAAAAUGCCCCCGGCGAGGCAGGCUAUUUACGCGCGGUGGCACGAAACUGGAGUAACUAUUCAUUCCAGCAGUAACUUUUUUUAUCCUACGGAUGAGGUCGUUACAGGGGUUGAUCCGACGGCCCAGAUCCGAUCAAGCAACCAGAUCCGACAGGCAAGAAUCCCAAAUUGCUGUGGUGCGGGAUGAGGAGCUUCUAUUCUUAUUUCUGGAUGGACGCAAGCGGGCCGCCGACCAUGAAGGAGCACGGGCGCUACCGGCCGCCGUAGAGUGGGAGCCAUGGGCACUGCCGGCCGCCACCGCGGGAUAGCCACGGGCGCCGCCAGCCGCCGCUGGGAUUGCGAUAGGUAGAAAAGGAGGCGGCGGCGUUGUAUGCUGCGUGAGUGAUGUCGUGCGUGAAGGAAUUCACCAGCCACCAGGGAUAAGCUGCGAGGGCCGCGCGUGUUGGGCUAAGAAUUGGGCCGAUAAAAGGCUCAGGAUAACUUUCUGUACGUAUCACCUAGGAGGAGAAACUAAUUAACGAGCGCUCCUUCGGGAGACUCGCAAUGAUCAGCGUCACUUGGCGCGCUCUCAGCCAUUCGCCACGUGUCACGUUUUGGGCGCUCCCUUUGGAUUUUUUUUAUUUUUUCGCGCGCGUUUUUGGCUUCUAAACAGUUUUUUUGACGUUUUGGUUUUCCACCGGUUUUCCCUAGCUUUUCGACCAAAAAAAUCGAAUUGUUUUUCUGUGCAAACAAACUUUUUUUCUCGCGAGAGGCACGGUUGUGCUUUCGCGAGAGGCACGUCUGUGCCUCUUGGAAACGGAAAAAACGUGUUUUCUGUUUUUUUCCUUUCGCGAGAGGCACGGUUUUGCUUCCGCGAGAGGCACGGUUGUGCUUUCGCGAGAGUCACGGUCGUGCCUCUUGGAAAUUAAAAAACAAAUUUUUUGUUUUUUUUCUUUCAUGAGAGGCACGGUUUUGCUUCUGCGAGAGCCACGGUUGUGAUUUCGUUAGAGGCACGGGCGUGCCUCUUUCGGAAAGGGCAAAAACCCGUGCUCCCGGUUCGUUUUUUUCGUUCGGUUUUUUUCGUGAAAAAAAAGUUCGUCAAAACCUAUCAACAUGGGAUCUAGUUUUGAAGAUCUCGACACGAGGAAUCCAAGGGCGAAAGCGGUUCGAGAUUUGGAUGCACGGUUUAAGAGAUAAAACGUUUUGAAUAAACGAAUCUAUGAAAAAAGGGAAAACUCCCAGGUUACGACAAGUGGCGCACAUGCAGAGCCACUUGUCACAACCUGAGGAAGUUGAAAUGAUCUUGGCAAGGAGUACUCUUUAAUUAGUGAUUUCGGGAAAAAGGUGUUUUUUUAUCGUGGAUGGGCUAUUGAGUUGGUUAGUUCGGGGAAUUCGGUCACCUGAGUCCAACGACCGAACCCACCCAAGUAAUUUCGGUUUCUGGUAAUUGGUAACCAAACAAAUAACUGAAGUUUCGGUCCUCGGUUAUUUCGACUUCGGUCCUGGUUUUUUCGGCUCCGGUUUUCCGUUCUCAGUUUUUUCGCCCACCUAGGCGUAGCCGGAGCCAUUUGCAGGGGAAAACAUCCAGAUGAUUGGUGGUUUACCUACAAGCGUUUCAAGGGUAAAAAUCUGCCACUGGAACGAAUGGAAGAUAUAGUGCCUGUUCUGGUUUAGGUAAGUGAAAACUCUAAAGUAGUGUGUGAUAGCAGAUUGUACAUGCCUGAGUGCUCAAGAAAUACCCCUGGCAAAAGCAAAUGUAUACUCCCUCCAUGCCAUAUUAGUUAUCGCUCAAACAUAUGUAUCUACUUCUAGAUACAUCCGUCUGAGCGACAAUUAAUAUGAGAUGGAGGGAGUAUUUCUGAACGGAAAAUUACUUGGUAGUAGUUCUCGUUAUGAGGCUUGAAUAAAUUCAAGGCCUUGCACGGAUGCCUUCUUCAUGAUGGUGAAGGAAAUCAUUCCAGAGAUUGCUUAACAUCAAAGUUUAGGAAACCAUUCAGAUUUAUGUCUCUGAACAGUUCUUUGUAAGCAUUUUGCCAUUACCUGCUCAAAUCCCCAGGUUGGGCUCGAGACCAACCAGCCCCUGGGUAUCCUCAGUGUCCAAUGGACAUGCAUCCUCAGUGUCCAAUUGGGGAUUUCCUUUUUAGAGCUUCAGGAGUUGCAUUUGGUAUCAGCUUUUUUUUUGUUGAUAUAUUCUUCUUAGGACAAUUCAAGCCAUUAGAUGUAAAACACUGAGAGACCACAUAACUGAAUAAUCUGUGCUAGGUAUAGCUGUAACUUUAGCUGCACCAGUAUUGCUAGGAUAUGACUCUCUAAGUCUUGCAUCUGAGUCCAGCGGAUAGACUUUGAUGGAAGAUUUGCUCGCACAAGUUGUAGUAUUAGGCGGCACAUUUUAUAUGGCUGAGUGUAAAAUGGAGUAGAUAGCACAAGCCUUGGGAUUUGUGUGACAUCUGCACAGCAAUCAAAGAGGAAUCAAGUGCAUGUAAUUACUAUUUACUCCCUUUUUAAACUAAUAUAAGAUCUUUUAGAUCACUAAAAUAGUGAUCUUAAAAAGAUCUUAUAGUAUUAUCAGUUUACACUUGAUAGGCCUAGCCUCUGCUUUAGCUUUGCAGUUGAUUUCACUCUGGUAGUGUGCGUUUUCCUCGAUAUCUCUUUUAUGCCUACUCAUGUGAAGGACCGCUGCCCUGGUUUCAGGCAACUUGUGCGUGGCUCGUAGGAGCUGUGGAGACAUGGUUGGACUUCAUUACAUGUUGUUGCGACAAUCAAGAGUUGGAAGAGUCCAGAUGGCGGCAGUUUGAUGCUUACCUGUCAGUCUUCUGAUGCGUAAACACAGAGCAGAACACCUUGAUGCUCCAACGGAAUGCAAGAGAAGAACAGACUUGUUGUGGAUGCUAAAUUCUGUGCUUGUUUGUUUUGCUGUCUGUCUCAUUCUGUCAUUCGCCUUG
rnacentral:lncRNA from 1 species